rnacentral:rRNA from 1 species
CCACCUGAUUCCAUGCCGAACUCAGAAGUGAAACACAAUAGCGCCGAUGGUAGUGUGGGGCUUCCCCAUGUGAGAGUAGGACAUCGCCAGGC